rnacentral:misc_RNA from 1 species
UCCAAUUUUGUCUGCGGAUUAGCGGGGGCUGUUUUUAAAGUUUAUUUAGAGAAGUUGAACUACUGCAAAGUUUAUAACAAGGAGAAAAUAAUAGACACGGUCGACCAAGUGAGAAAGUCUGGACGCAGUCUGAUAACAUACAGUAACCAUGACAGCUGUAUCGAUGACCCCACGACCUUAGCUAUGCUGAGAUGGGAUCAUGUGUUGAAUGGUAAAAGACUUCGGUGGGUCCUUGUGGCAGACGAGAUCUGUUUCACCUCCAAAACGCUGGCACUCUUCUUCAGUCUCGGGAAAGCCAUUCCAGUGAUCAGGGGCGAGGGAAUCUAUCAGAAACCUAUGGACUACGCCCUGGAUAAGAUUGAUCGCGGGGCAUGGGUACAUAUAUUUCCGGAAGGUAAAAUAAACCUUGAAAAAACCUACAUUAGAUUUAAAUGGGGGAUAGGUCGACUCCUGACUGAAGCUCAGCAGUGCCCCAUAGUGGUUCCAUUCUAUCAUUACGGCAUGGAUGAAGCUUUACCCACAAAGACUCCUUAUUUUCCUCGCUUUAAAAAGAAAAUCACCAUUUUAGUGGGCAAUCCCAUCGAUUUCUCCGAGGAGUUGGAGCGGUUGAAACACAAGAUGACUGCAACUGAGCUCAGGAAACAUUUUACAGAUAUUCUUCAAGAAAAACUUUACGCCCUUCGGAAAGAAGCUGAAGAACUUCACAAAGUUCGGAAAGCGGAAGAACCUCACAAAGAAGACAGCUGACGACGUCUUCUUUGAUACUUACACACAAGAACUAUGCAGCAUUACGAUCAACAUACAACUCAUCAACAUUAAGAUGGAUGUAGAGUGCAGGGACUUUAGAUCUGUAUUUUAAACUUUUGUUUUUAAUAUCAGGUUAUGUACACAUGGACAUCUGGACGUGCUAUUAUUGAAGAAUUUAAAUAUGUAUAUUUUUAUAUGAGAUGAAUUGGAGCGAUUGUUAUUUAAAGAUUAAAUGGUAGUUAC